UAGAGGAGGAAGGCAAGUGCGGAGCACUUUCGGAAUGCCUUCCGACGAAUUGCCGCCGGGCGAAGGCGAGGGGGCGCUGCCUUGU
rnacentral:sRNA from 1 species